CUGAGUCGUAAAUAUGUAUGUUGGAUGUCUGAAUGCAUCAUUCUUUUUUUAUUUGAUCGUCUUAUAAAAUAUUCUGGAACGUUAAGGUUACAUAGUUACCAAAGCAAGUAACCAGUAAAUACAAGUGUAAAAAUUGGGUUGUUUACUUCCGGUGAUGAUUAUUUUCUUAUAUGCAAUGAAAUGUAGUGUGAAAUUUUCACUGUAUCACUGGAAAGGAUUAAACUUUACACAUGCAAAGUAUUUCUUUGGUUGAAAUAAAGUGUUAACCAUGUUCUGAAGAGCAUUCUGUUGAAAAAUCUUAUAUGUGAAUUGGUCUGCAGAUGACACUUCAGCAUUAAAACAAAAGAUAUCAAGUUUUGAUGAAAAAGGAAGGAAGGAGGAAAAAUGGACCAAAACAGACCAAAACAGACCUUCAAAUGAACUCUAAAAGGUGCAAUAAAAUUGUUUAUCAUCUAAAAGUUGUCUUUUGUAUUCUAUUUAAUUGUUUGAAUGCAUAGAUCAUGAGUUUAUGAUCAGAUAGUAGUC